rnacentral:rRNA from 1 species
UACGGAGGGGGCAAGCGUUGUCCGGAAUCACUGGGCGUAAAGGGCGCGUAGGUGGCCUGAUAAGGGUGUGGUGAAAGUCCGGGGCUUAACCCCGGAUCUGCCGUGCCGACUGUUAGGCUAGAGUGCUGUAGGGGCAGGCGGAAUUCCUGGUGUAGCGGUGGAAUGCGCAGAUAUCAGGAGGAACACCCAUAGCGAAGGCAGCUUGCUGGGACGUUACUGACGCUAAGGCGCGAAAGCGUGGGGAGCGAACAGG